rnacentral:rRNA from 1 species
CCUACGGGAGGCAGCAGUGGGGGAUAUUGGACAAUGGGGGGAACCCUGAUCCAGCGACGCCGCGUGAGUGAAGAAGUAUCUCGGGAUGUAAAGCUCUAUCAGCAGGGAAGAAGAAAUGACGGUACCUGAGUACGAAGCCCCGGCUAACUCCGUGCCAGCAGCCGCGGUAAUACGUAGGGGGCAAGCGUUCUCCGGAAUUACUGGGUGUAAGGGGUGCGUAGGCGGACUGUUAAGUCAGCGGUAAAAACCCGGGGCUCAACCCCGGCGAGCCGUUGAAACUGGCUGUCUUGAGAUGUCGAGAGGUAUGCGGAAGGCGCGGUGUAGCGGUGAAAUGCAUAGAUAUUGCGCAGAACUCCGAUUGCGAAGGCAGCAUACCGGCGGCGAUCUGACGCUGAGGCACGAAAGCGUGGGGAUCGAACAGGAUUAGAUACCCGUGUAGUC